rnacentral:lncRNA from 1 species
UGAUCUCACCUUCCUCUGUUCCGACUUCCCUCUCCUAUAAAUAGAAUGUUCUUGCUUCGGUUUUCUUCGCUGGCUAGAUGAAACGUUUCCUAUCGGGGUCUACUCUCUGUCAGAAGCUUAUCACAGUUGUGGUUUCUUGUGUUAUUAUCUUGGAGCAAUGCUUUGGAAUCCAGGUAGGGGAAAUACGGCAGACCUUUACGAAGAUUGACUUUAUUAAAUUUCGUGAAGCAUUAUAUUAUUAUUGGUAUUGAUCUUGUUGGUUGAUUAAUAUGAUCUGGUUUACUAAUUGGACAAAUACUGCUCUUGCGUGUUUACUUGUUAUUGGUUACAGAAUUAUUGGUGACGUUAUAUUCGCUGAGAAUAUGUUGUGGUACAUGUGAAUGAUGAAAUGAGAUUAUUUGUGCAUUACUCAUGUAUGAGAAUAGUUGGAAGUUCGGGGUUGAGAAAGGAACUGGAAAUGAGGGUAGUUGGAAAGGAUCUUUUGUGUAGUUGAGCCAAACUCUUAGUGGGUACCAAGUCUCAGGUGAGCCCACAGUGCACAGUUUCUUUGAGGGUAAUUCGGGAUUGGCGACGAAGGGUUUUGGCAAGAUGACUAACAAAAGGGGAAAUUGGGAAGAUUGAGUUACAGGGGGUUAAUUUGUAUAUUAGAACAUUCAAACCACCACUGUAGAGGUAAAAUCACUGUAUGGAACGUGCAGGUCCGCGUGUUUUAUUAUGAAUUAACGGGUAGAGAUGAAGAGUAUUGUAUCGCAUUCAUGCAUUGUUGAUGAUAAUGAUUUGGUACUUGAUUACAUGACUUUAUGACACGUAAUUCAAUAUUGUCAAUUUACUGUGAUAAGGUUAUGUCCCUACUGAGCUGUUAAAGCUCACCCUUCUAUUGUUAUGCAGGUUCACAAACUAAACAAUCUAAGAGGGUAGAUGGGAUGAGAUUGGAUUAAGUGUGAGGAUAGAAUUUUGUAUUUAUUUAUUUUAGCCUUGUAAAGAAUUAUUGAGUUAUUUUAAAUAAGAAGAAUUUUAUUUUUCACUUCGUUAUUUCAGUUUUAUUUUAAUUAGUUAGCUUUUAUCUCACGUUUCGAAUUCGGAGUUAUUUUUCCUAUUGACCUCGGGUCCGGGGCGUGACACUCACCCCGCUACGCUCUCCCACAAAAGUAACCUUAAGUAAUCCAGGACGAUGAAAAGUGAAUGCCUUUCCAUAACAAUCUAUCUUGGCACGAUUGUAGUGUAACCAACCAGUGCCCAAAAUCACAUCAAAAUCAACAAUGUAUAACGGAAUAAGGUUAGCUGGCAUAACGACAUCCUCUACCAUCACUUGACAUCCUGGAUAUACACGAUCAACAUAACAUCUCUCCCCUUUAGGCAUAGAAAACUUUAAAUCAUAUCCUAGAGGUGUAGGAUGAGGUUGCGUCACUUGAGCAAAUGUAUGAGAAACAACAGAAUGCGUAGCACCACAAUCAAUUAAUACUUUAGCAAAAUGACCAAGAAUGUUCAACGUACCCAUGAUUAAAUCAGGAUUGUUCUGAGCAUCCUGCAGUGUCAUGCUAUGGAUACGUCCUGGGUUUUGCUGUUGUCCACCACGACCUCUAUUAGCAUGAAUACCUCGUCCUUGUCUUGGCUGACCCGAUUGACUCGAAGAUCCUGCACUGCUAGCAGCAAUCUCUACUUGCUGGGGCUGUCCCCCUAGUACCACUAGGAUCCACCUGCUGAAUGUGGCUGGUAUGGCAUAAACCUCCCUGAUACUGUGGGUAACCACCCUGAUAAUGAGGGUCUUGAAAAUACUGAUACUGCCCUGAAGUAUAAGGAGCGGCGUCGCCCUGAUAAUGAUAAGCACCUCCACGACCAAUUUAGGCAUAACCACUAGGUCCUGAAACUUGUUGGGUUGGCGCAGGUGGUGGUAAGGAAGGCUGUUGAGGCCUUUGCUGAUUCUAAGGGCAAUGUACAACCCUAUGCCCCAUAUUUCCACAAGUAUAACAUCCACUACUGCCUCUCCUACACUCCCCAAAAUGCCUAUUAUUACAUCUGCGGCAUAAAGGAGCACGUGAACCACCAAAAUCCCUCUGUCUUUGAAAUCUAGGGCUAGAAAAUCUACCACCUCUCCUCUGUACAUUAGAGCUCAAACCUCCACUAGAAGAGCUGGAACUGGCACCACUUCUCUUAAAACUCUGGGUCUUACGAGGCCCCUGAGAAGAUUGACCUUUACCUUUAUCAUACUUUCUUUGAUUUCCAUCUUUUUCUUCUUCAUUCUCACUCUCACUGGGCAUAUUUUCUGAAUCCUUAAUCUGCAGUAAAACCUCAUAAAACUCCUGGUAAGUGGCACAGGGAGUUGAUGUCGCGAUAGAACAUCACUUCUUUUUAGUGCCCAACCUAAAACGACGAAGCAUCUCAACCGGAUUCACAGCAACCUCCGGAUCAUAACGAGACAAAUCGGUAAAUCUCAUGUAAUAUUCAUUCGUCGUCAUAUUUCCUUGUUUCAGAUGUGUAAACUCUUGUUUCUUGCGAGCUAUAUACUCUGGAGGAACGAAUCUUUUCUGAAACAAUUGCUUAAACAUUUCCCAAUCAGCUGCUACCUCUGGUGGCAUCUGAUAAGACUCUUGUCUCCACCAGGAUGCAGGCUGCUC